rnacentral:rRNA from 1 species
CGCGCAGGCGGUCGAUCAAGUCGCGUGUGAAAGCCCCCGGCUCAACUGGGGAGGGUCACGCGAUACUGAUCGACUCGAAGGCAGGAGAGGGUAGUGGAAUUCCCGGUGUAGUGGUGAAAUGCGUAGAUAUCGGGAGGAACACCAGUGGCGAAGGCGACUACCUGGCCUGUUUCUUGACGCUGAGGCGCGAAAGCUAGGGGAGCAAACG